rnacentral:rRNA from 1 species
AGACCCGAAACCCGGUGAUCUAGCCAUGGGCAGGUUGAAGGUUGGGUAACACUAACUGGAGGACCGAACCGACUAAUGUUGAAAAAUUAGCGGAUGACCUGUGGCUGGGGGUGAAAGGCCAAUCAAACCGGGAGAUAGCUGGUUCUCCCCGAAAGCUAUUUAGGUAGCGCCUCGUGAAUUCAUCUCCGGGGGUAGAGCACUGUUUCGGCUAGGGGGCCAUCCCGGCUUACCAACCCGAUGCAAACUGCGAAUACCGGAGAAUGUUAUCACGGGAGACACACGGCGGGUGCUAACGUCCGUCGUGAAGAGGGAAACAACCCAGACCGCCAGCUAAGGUCCCAAAGUCAUGGUUAAGUGGGAAACGAUGUGGGAAGGCCCAGACAGCCAGGAUGUUGGCUUAGAAGCAGCCAUCAUUUAAAGAAAGCGUAAUAGCUCACUGGUCGAGUCGGCCUGCGCGGAAGAUGUAACGGGGCUAAACCAUGCACCGAAGCUGCGGCAGCGAACGUAUCACCCAAGACAACUUUACGGAGUUGACGAUUGACGGAGCGAAGCGACGUCAAAGCGUUCAUUAAAGUCGAGUUGGCUUAGGGAUACGUUCGUUGGGUAGGGGAGCGUUCUGUAAGCCUGUGAAGGUGUGUCGUGAGGCAUGCUGGAGGUAUCAGAAGUGCGAAUGCUGACAUAAGUAACGAUAAAGCGGGUGAAAAGCCCGCUCGCCGGAAGACCAAGGGUUCCUGUCCAACGUUAAUCGGGGCAGGGUGAGUCGACCCCUAAGGCGAGGCCGAAAGGCGUAGUCGAUGGGAAACGGGUUAAUAUUCCCGUACUUGGUGUUACUGCGAAGGGGGGACGGAGAAGGCUAUGUUGGCCGGGCGACGGUUGUCCCGGUUUAAGCGUGUAGGUGUGUGUUCCAGGUAAAUCCGGUUCACUUUAACACUGAGGCGUGACGACGAGGCACUACGGUGCUGAAGCAACAAAUGCCCUGCUUCCAGGAAAAGCCUCUAAGCAUCAGGUAACAUCAAAUCGUACCCCAAACCGACACAGGUGGUCAGGUAGAGAAUACCAAGGCGCUUGAGAGAACUCGGGUGAAGGAACUAGGCAAAAUGGUGCCGUAACUUCGGGAGAAGGCACGCUGACACGUAGGUGAAGUGAUUUACUCAUGGAGCUGAAGUCAGUCGAAGAUA